rnacentral:rRNA from 1 species
GAUAAGAGUUUGAUCAUGGCUCAGGAUGAACGCUGGCGGCGUGCCUAAGGCAUGCAAGUCGAACGAUCUAGUCGCAAGACUAGAAAGUGGCAAACGGGUGCGUAACACAUUGGCAACCUACCCCAAAGCUCGGGACAACAAAUCGAAAGAUUUGCUAAUACCGGAUGUGCUCAGAAGUCGCAUGACUUCUGCGUAAAGAUUUAUCACUUUGGGAGGGACCUAUGGUCUAUCAGCUUGUUGGUGAGGUAAUGGCCCACCAAGGCUACGACGGAUAGCGGGUGUGAGAGCACGACCCGCCUCACUGGAACUGAGACACUGUCCAGACUCCUACGGGAGGCUGCAGUCAGGAAUCUUCCCCAAUGGACGAAAGUCUGAGGGAGCGACGCCGCGUGCAGGAUGAAACUCUUCGGAGCGUAAACUGCUUUUCUGUGGGACGAACUCUGACGGUACCACAGGAAUAAGGGGCUGCUAACUUCGUGCCAGCAGCAGCGGUAAUACGAAGGCCCCAAGCGUUAUCCGGAAUUACUGGGCGUAAAGAGUUCACAGGUGGCUUUAUAAGUCUUCCGUAAAAUUCCAUGGCUUAACCGUGGGUCCGCGGGGGAAACUGUAAAGCUUGAGCGCGGGAGAGGCAAACGGAAUUACCGGUGUAGUAGUAAAAUGCGUUAAUAUCGGUAGGAACACCAAUUGCGAAGGCAGUUUGCUAGAACGCCGCUGACACUAUAUGAACGAAAGCGUGGGGAGCGAAACGGAUUAGAUACCCGUGUAGUCCACGCCGUAAACGAUGGACACUAGGCAUUGGGAGUCUCGACCCUCUCAGUGUCGUUUACUCAAGCUAACGCGUUAAGUGUCCCGCCUGGGGAGUACGGCCGCAAGGCUAAAACUCAAAUGAAUUGACGGGAGCCCGCACAAGCGGUGGAGCAUGUGGUUUAAUUCGACGAUAAGCGAGGAACCUUACCAGGGUUUGACAUCCUCGGGAUCUCUCAGAAACGAGAGAGUGCCUAGCAAUAGGAACCGAGUGACAGGUGCUGCAUGGUUGUCGUCAGCUCGUGUCGUGAGACGUUGGGUUAAGUCCCCUAACGAGCGCAACCCUCGUCGUAUGUUACCUACUCAUACGAGACUGCCGGCUUUAAGCUGGAGGAAGGUGGGGAUGACGUCAAAUCAGCAUGGUCCUCUGACACCCUGGGCCACACACGUGCUACAAUGGGAAGAACAAUGGGGCGCGAAAUCGUAAGAUGGAGCAAAUCCCAUCAAAUCUUCUCUCAGUUCGGAUUGAGGGCUGCAACUCGCCCUCAUGAAGCUGGAAUCGCUAGUAACCGCAGAUCAGCCACGCUGCGGUGAAUACGUUCUCGGGCUUUGUACACACCGCCCGUCAAACCAAGAGAGUCGGGAAUACCUGAAGACCCGCAAGGGUUGAAGGUAGGCUCGGCAAUAAGGGCUAAGUCGUAACAAGGCAUGCGUAGCGGAAGCUGUGCAUGGAUCACCUCCUUUCUAGGGAG